rnacentral:rRNA from 1 species
AGACCUUUAGUUUGAACCCCGAAACCAGGUGAGCUACCCCGAGACAGCCUAUAUUGAUUUAGGGCUAACCCGUCUCUGUGGCAAAAGAGUGGGAAGAGCUCCGGGUAGAAGUGACAGACCUACCGAACCUGGUGAUAGCUGGUUGCCUGAGAAGUGGAUAGAAGUUCAGCCUCGCACACCCCAAGCCAGAGAAUACACCGCUAAGGCACUCAGGGAAAUGUGGGAGAGUUAGUUAAAGGGGGUACAGCCCCUUUAACAAAGGAUACAACCUUUGCAGGAGGAUAAAGAUCAUAAUAUAUAAAACAUGCUGCUCUAGUGGGCCUAAAGGCAGCCACCUAAACAGAAAGCGUUAAAGCUCAGGCAGAAAGAAGUUUAUUAUACCGAUAAAAAAUCUUACUCCCCUAAUUAUAUCAGGCCAACCCAUGCCAACAUGGAAGAGAUUAUGCUAAAAUGAGUAACAAGAAGACCUGCUCUUCUCCCAGCACAAGUGUAAGCCAGAUCGGACUAGCCGCUGGAACUUAACGAACCCAACCCAAGAGGGUAGUGUGAAUAGUACAGACCCCAAGAAGAACUCACAACUAAACAAUCGUUAACCCCACACUGGAGUGCUAUUAUAAAGGAAAGACUAAAAGAGGGGGAAGGAACUCGGCAAACACAAGCCUCGCCUGUUUACCAAAAACAUCGCCUCCUGCAACUAUAUUGAGUAUAGGAGGUCCAGCCUGCCCAGUGACUACGGGUUCAACGGCCGCGGUAUUUUGACCGUGCAAAGGUAGCGCAAUCACUUGUCUCUUAAAUAGAGACCUGUAUGAAUGGCUAGACGAGGGCUUAACUGUCUCCCCCCUCCAGUCAGUGAAAUUGAUCUAUCCGUGCAGAAGCGGGUAUAAUUAUACAAGACGAGAAGACCCUUUGGAGCUUAAGGUACAAAAUCCAACCACGUUAAACGACCCCCUAAAGGGCAAGAACUUAGUGGCCAAUGAAGUUUUACCUUCGGUUGGGGCGACCACGGAGGAGAAAAAAGCCUCCGAGUGGACUGGGUUAAAACCCAAAGCUAAGAGAUACAUCUCUAAGCCGCAGAACAUCUGACCAAAAGUGAUCCGGCUAAAAAGCCGAUCAACGAACCAAGUUACCCUAGGGAUAACAGCGCAAUCCUCUCCCAGAGUCCAUAUCGACGAGGGGGUUUACGACCUCGAUGUUGGAUCAGGACAUCCUAAUGGUGCAGCCGCUAUUAAGGGU